rnacentral:tRNA from 1 species
GCUGGUUUAGCUCAGUUGGCAAAACACAAGGUUCUUAACCUUAUGGUUGUGGGUUCAAGCCCCACAGUGGGCG